ACCGACAGCGCCAGGUGUAGUAACCAUGGGGGCUUUCAUGUACUUGAACGAGCUGUGGAAGAAGAAGUCUUCCGAUGUGAUGCGCUUUAUCCAGCGUAUCCGCUCGUGGGAGUUCCGUCACCAGCACACGGUGGUGCGCCUGCGCCGCCCCACGCGCCCGGAGAAGGCCCGCAUGCUUGGCUACAAGACGAAGCAGGGCUUCUGCGUGUUCCGCGUGCGCGUGCGCCGUGGUGGCCGCAAACGCCCGGUCCACAAGGGUAUCACGUACGGUAAGCCGAAGACCAGCGGUGUGCUCGGCAUGAAGCUCAACAAGAACAACCAGGCCGUUGCGGAGCAGCGUCUGGGCAAGCGCUUCGGCAACCUGCGCGUGCUGAACUCGUACUGGGUGAACAUGGACUCCACGUUCAAAUGGUACGAGGUCAUCGCCGUUGACCCGAUGUGCAAGACCAUCCGCCGCGACCCCCGCAUCAACUGGAUCGUCAACUCCGUGCAUAAGCACCGCGAGCAGCGCGGUCUGACCUCUGCUGGUCGCAAGCACCGUGGUCUGCGCCACAAGGGUCACAAGGCCUCCAAGCUGCGCCCGUCGUACCGCGCUGCGUGGCGCCGCAACAACCGCAUCGUGUUCCUGCGCAAGCGUUAAGAAACCCAUCCAGGGCGCAGCUGACGCCGCACCACACACGCCACCGAGGGUGCCGAGACAACGCAGGUCUCCUCUCUCUUCCCGCAUCGAGCUCUUACGAGCGACAGCGACGGCGACGGGGGCUCAUGGUGGACAGUUUGCCGUGCUUGAGCUCUCACUCUUCGCUUAUACAUGGGCACGGCGCGGGCGUGUCCGCUGCGGUGCUGACGCGGCGCUCAGUGUCAUUUCUCUUUUUCUUAUUUGAUCUCUUUACCAGAAAAAAAAAGUAGAUCACUGUAUGCUGAAACACAGAUACGCGUGCAACCUUGAGUUGCUCCUGUACGGUCGGCCGGGAAUAGCACUGUGACCCCCCUCCCCCCAGUUGUGGCUAUCGUUGCUACGGCGGCAGAGGUCGAAGGAGUGCAUUCAAGAGGGAUUGAAGACGCGCGUGUGUGUGCGCUCGAAGAGUGCGAGAAACGAGACGGGGGGCCGGUCGCGACGACGACUGAUGUUAAGGAGGCACAUAGGCGCUUCUUUUCUGCUCGACCCGUCGCCACUGUUUGCUUUUCGUCUCUGAGACUGCGCUUUCCUCUGUUCCUUUCCGUGAACGAUUUCUCCGUGAGACGGCGGGGGAAGCGUGCCCGCCUCGGUCCCUUUUCUCCGCUUAUGCCCCUGCGCACCACUUGUACGCUGCCACUCGUGCAGGCGGUUCGGUGUUCUCGUGAUUGGUCACCGCUGUUCCUCCUCCUCUAACUCUUUCCUUAAACUCAUUCUCUCUACUGCUGCAUCGCGAUGCUUUGUUUCCCCUCCACUCCUUUCCGUCGCUAUCACUGCACUCUACGCGCACCUACACACGUGCUCAUCUCGUGCGCUCACCCAACUUGCGUUACCGGUGCCGCAUCAUCGCCGCAACCUCCGCUGCGUCCGUGCGCUCCACUGGACUGGUUCUGCAACGAACCGUCGUCAUCGAAACCCCCCACCCCCCAAAAAAAAACAAAAAAAUCUAACUACAACCCCUCACCAAG
rnacentral:misc_RNA from 1 species